rnacentral:lncRNA from 1 species
CUCAGGGACCCACUCCCGCCCAGCUCUGGAAGGGGGAAAGGGGUUUAAACUUACCUUUUUCCAGCGCUGGGCGGAGAGCUCUCCUCCUCCUCUCCGCCUCCGUUACGCCCCGCCAGCUGAAUGCGCACGCGCGGCAAGAGCUGCGCGCGCAUUCAGCCGGUCUCAUAGGAAAGCAUUUACAAUGCUUUCCUAUGGACGCUGGCGUGCUCUCACUGUGAUUUUCACAGUGAGAAGCACGCAAGCGCCUCUAGUGGCUGUCAAUGAGACAGCCACUAGAGGAUUAGGGGGAAGGCUUAAC